rnacentral:rRNA from 1 species
GACGAACGCUGGCGGCGUGCUUAACACAUGCCAGUCGAACGGAAAGGCCCUGCUUUUGUGGGGUGCUCGAGUGGCGAACGGGUGAGUAACACGUGAGUAACCUGCCCUUGACUUUGGGAUAACUUCAGGAAACUGGGGCUAAUACCGGAUAGGAGCUCCUGCUGCAUGGUGGGGGUUGGAAAGUUUCGGCGGUUGGGGAUGGACUCGCGGCUUAUCAGCUUGUUGGUGGGGUAGUGGCUUACCAAGGCUUUGACGGGUAGCCGGCCUGAGAGGGUGACCGGCCACAUUGAGACUGAGAUACGGCCCAGACUCCUACGGGAGGCAGCAGUGGGGAAUAUUGCACAAUGGGCGGAAGCCUGAUCCAGCAACGCCGCGUGCGGGAUGACGGCCUUCGGGUUGUAAACCGCUUUCGCCUGUGACGAAGCGUGAGUGACGGUAAUGGGUAAAGAAGCACCGGCUAACUACGUG